rnacentral:rRNA from 1 species
AUACGUAGGGGGCAAGCGUUAUCCGGAUUUACUGGGUGUAAAGGGAGCGUAGACGGCAAAGCAAGUCCGAUGUGAAAUUCCGGGGCUCAACUCCGGACCUGCAUUGGAAACUGUUUAGCUAGAGUAUCGGAGAGGUAAGUGGAAUUCCUAGUGUAGCGGUGAAAUGCGUAGAUAUUAGGAGGAACACCAGUGGCGAAGGCGGCUUACUGGACGAUAACUGACGUUGAGGCUCGAAAGCGUGGGGAGC